rnacentral:lncRNA from 1 species
AUGAUGAAUAAAGUUAAAUACGCUGUGUUUCCAGCAAACUGGCAACCCAGGUGCUGAAAUACAAUUGAGUAAACUACCAGUAAGCAGGUUUCACAAACCAAAACAAAGAUUGAAAUUCCGGCCCGGAAUGCACAUUUUUUAAGGAGAAUUGUAGCAUUGUUUUUCAGAUAAACAAGUAUAUUAACUUAGCAUGUUUCUUAAAUAUCUGCAAACAUAUUAUGGUAUUUUUAUGCUUUCGUAGAGUCAAAAUGUUACAUACAGCACCUUUAAAUUAACCAAUAUUUCUUUGUAACGUUAGUCUUAAAAAUCGGAAGACAAAUAGCAUUUAAAGCAAUAUGUCUUUCGUAGAGUACAAAUGUACAUACAGCUACUUUAAUAACCAAUAUUUCUUUGUAACGUUAGUCUUAAAAAUCGGAAGACAAAUAGCAUUUAAAGCAAUGGAUUUCCUGUUGAACUUUCGGUGGUGGGUUAUAAGGUCUGUGGUUUCGUUCUACAACUUAAAAGGCGCACAGUCAUACCUAAAACAGAUGUGCUGUGUUUUCUAAAGAAGGCCUACAACCAAACACGUAAAUUUAGAUAGGUGUGGUAGAUGUAGUCUUUAUUUAGUUGGCCUACAAAUUGACAUCACGGCAGUGUCACGUGACACAGAUUUCAUUCGCACGCGUGGUGGUUCCUCCAGCAGCAGCGUUCGUCAACUAGAGCUGUGGCCGAACGGAGGUGAACAUGGCCAAUGUGUCGGAGAGGACGUUACAGGUCGCUUUAGUUGUUUCGUUUGCGGCUGGUUUUAUCGCCGGCUGGCAGGCAAACAGAAUGCGAAGAAGGUUCUUGGACUGGCGAAAAAAGAGGUUACAAGACAAGCUCGCAGAAACACAGAAGAAGCUAGACCUGUCAUGACACAUACAAAAUAUCAUGAAGCCGACCUGUGCCUCGGUCAUCGGUCAAUACUUUAGUAUUCCUGACUUCACAAACAGAAUGAGGAGUCUAUCAGCACCUCUCCAGCUCUCAACAGGAUCAGGCGUUCAACCUUGGAUCAAAGACACGAUCUACAGGCUGGAAUGGAUGCUUUGGUGCAGCAGGCUGAUAAACCAGAUGCGUCAAGACAGGACAGAGACCUUGGAGAGGUAA